ACGGAAGGCGGCAGUGAGGAAUAUUGGUCAAUGGGCGGAAGCCUGAACCAGCCAAGUCGCGUGAAGGAUGAAGGUAUUAUGUAUUGUAGACUUCUUUAGACGUAGAGAAAUAAGAGGCUCGUGAGCCUUGAUGCUAGUAUACGUAGAAUAAGGAUCGGCUAACUCCGUGCCAGCAGCCGCGGUAAUACGGAGGAUCCGAGCGUUAUCCGGAUUUAUUGGGUUUAAAGGGUGCGCAGGCGGCCCUGUAAGUCAGCGGUUAAAUCGUGGAGCUCAACUCCAUCCCGCCGUUGAUACUGCAGGGCUUGAUUGCGGUCGAGGUUGGCGGAAUUCGCCGUGUAGCGGUGAAAUGCAUAGAUAUGGCGAAGAACUCCGAUUGCGUAGGCAGCUGACCAGGCCGUAAAUGACGCUCAUGCACGAAAGUGCGGGGAUCGAACAGGAUUAGAUACCCUGGUA
rnacentral:rRNA from 1 species